CCUUAGGGAGACAGACAGAAGUCUGAAGCCAUUGGAGGGGAGGACAUAUAGCAUAUGGAACACUCCAAUACCCAAGGAGAAGCUGGGUAUCAGCACAUCAGCACAUAAGGAGAUCCCAGACUCAUACAGGACACUAUAAUGUGGAAAGGUGCCAGCUGACUGCUGCUUUAUUCACCAAUCCUGGAUCAUAGAUCUAAGAGAUUCCAGCCUUCACUGCUGAAGGAAUUGUCAAGAAGGAUAAGAGGGGUUGGAGGAGAGCAGAGAGUCCCUGGAGAAGGUCCCCAACAUGAGAGGAUCCUGAGGGAACAUGAAGAAUAGUUCAAAAAUGUCAGUAACUCCCGGGAAGAAUCAGAGGACACCUAUGCAGAUAACAAGCAAUGUGAUAUGUGAAGCAUGUACAAUCAUUUUAAGCAUAUUUCCAAAUUAGUCAUAUUGUGAAAGGAAAAUCAGAACAAAAGGAGAAAAAAAAGCCGCAAGAAAGAAAAAGUAAACAAAACAAAACCAAAGGUAAAAAUAAUAUGCUUUGAUCCACAUUCAGUCACCAUAGUUCUCCCUUUGGAGGCAGAUGUUAUUUUCCAUACAAGUUUAUUGGAAUUGUCUUGGAUCACUUCAUUGCUGAGAAGAACUAAGUCUAUCAUAGUUUAUCAUCACAUAAUCUUACAGUUACUGUGUACACAAUGUUCUCCUGAUUCUGCUCACGUCAUUCAGCAUCAGUUCAUAUAAGUCUUUUCAGCUCUACUAUUCUGAAACUACAACUUUCUGCCUGCCUGAUCAGUGACUAAGUUGAGCAUAGUCUACUGGCAUGUCUAUGAGGGGCAAGCUUACAAAUAUAUUUCCUAGAUCCAAACCAAGAUCAGGAACUUACAGAACUCAGAUCAGGAAAAGACAUAUUUCAAGAAAUUAUUAAAGAAAACUGUCCAGAUAUUAAAAAAAACAGAAUGACAAGUGAAAAAUAUAAUUUACUGGUCAUUAUCUGAAAGAAAACUCCCAAAGAACAUUUCUGGCAAUAUUAUAGCCAAACCCAGAGCUUCCAAUUCAAAGAAAAAGCCUCUAAAAUAAA